rnacentral:rRNA from 1 species
GGGAGUGCUAGAUAGCAUGCAUACGCUCGGAGUCGGCAGAGAGAGUUAUCUGAGUGCCAUGCUCUUUAGAGGUGACGCAUGAGUGGCAGUGAGCGGCAGACGGGUGAGUAACACGUAGGCACCUGCCUGUAAGACUGGGAUAACUCGUGGAAACGCGAGCUAAUACCGGAUAACACUUUUCAUCUCCUGAUGAGAAGUUGAAAGGCGCUUUUGCUGUCACUUACAGAUGGGCCUGCGCGCAUUAGCUAGUGGGUAGGUAAUGGCUUACCAGGCGACGAUGCGUACGCCGACCUGAGAGGGUGAUCCGUCCACACUGGGACUGAUGACAUCGGCCAGAUUCCUACGGGAGGCAGCAGUAGUGAACUUUCGUUAAUGACGAUAAGUCUGACGUAGCUACGUCGCGUGAGUGAUGAAGGUUUCUGAUCUUUUAAACUCUGUCGUUAGGUAGAUCAGUUGUCCUAGUUACUUGAUGCACCUGACGGUACCUAUCCGAUAGCCCGCUAACUCUUGUCAGCCAGCUCGGUAUUCUCAGUGGCAGCUUUGUCCGUAUUAUUGGCGUAAGCCUCUCAGCCGUCUUAGUCUCGAUGUGAACCUACAGGUCACCGAACUGCUAUUGAACUCUGGAUUUAGUCGUCGCAAACUAGUUUGAUCACUCGUAGGUAUUCUCCUAAAUUGGGAUCUCAUUGCAGGACCCUGCUGAUUAGCUAUGACAUUGGGCCACGAUGCCCUGAUUCUCCUUAAUGGUGGUGGGCCCCAUAUUUAUAUGUUUAUGCUCUUGCCCCUGUAU